AUUGAACGCUGGCGGCAUGCCUAACACAUGCAAGUCGAGCGCAGCUGCGGACGGGUUAGAAAUGCCUAGGGAUCUGCCUGGUUGUGGGUGAUAACGUCAGGAGACGGGCGCUAAUACCGCAUCCUCUCAAUUCAGCUUAGGUCGUAUUAGCUGGUUGUUGGGGUAAAGGCCUACCAAGGAGACGAUCCGUAACUGGUCUGAGAGGAUGAUCAGUCACACUGGAACUGAGACACGGUCCAGACUCAUAGGGGAGGCAGCAGUGGGGAAUAUUGGACAAUGGGCGAAAGCCUGAUCACGACAUGCCGCGUGUGUGAAGAAGGUCUUCGGAUUGUAAAGCACUUUAAGUAGGGAGGCGUUACCAACAGAAUAAGCACCGGCUAACUUCGUGCCAGCAGCCGCGGUAAUUC
rnacentral:rRNA from 1 species